UGAAAAUAUAUUUUAUUCAAUCAUAUAUCCUAAAUAUUAUUUUAACAUAUGGUUAAUAUAAAAUGUAUUAAUAGCUAUUUUACAUUCUUUUUUUCUUUUUACAAAAAAAGCAGUAAAAGACUGUAUUUUAUCAUUUACAACACAUCUCAAUUCAAACCAGCCACAUUUCAAGGAGGCACAUGUGGCUAGUGGCGACUGUAUUGGACAAUGACAGUCUAAGACCUGGGUCACUUACCGUCUCUUGGAAUGGGUGUUGAGGUUCAGUCUACAGACUAUAUGGAUUGAUAUUGGGGAACAAAUGAAUAGAAAUUGAGAUCUAUUUCUUAGAAAAGAGAGAAUGGUAUUUGUAGAGGCGAACUCAUCUUUACCAUCAUCAUCACCAUCGUCACCUCUACAAAAUAUCUUAACUUUCAAGGAAUUAAAAUUCCUAAUCUCCAGGGCAUUUUAGGCUAAAUUCCUUUAAAUUAAUUCUGUAGUUCAGUGAAAAGGUAACAGUUGCACAGAGAGGGGGCUGGAAAAGAAUUUAGGAGAUGGAAUUUUUGGCCCACCUCUGUUAGCUUUCCUAGAUGUCUGACAGCUAGACAAAGUUGAUUGGUCUUCAUUCUUCAUCUAUGAUAUAAAAAGGUUAGAAUAGGUGUUUUCCAAAGUGUUUUUAGACUCCAGUAUUACUAAAAUAAACUUUAUUGAGGUAUAAUUUAUAUGUAAUAAAAUGUGCUCAUUUUAAUGUAUAUUUCAAUGAGUUUUGGCAAAUUUAACACCCUGCAACUACCAGCACACUCAAGAUAUAGGAAACAUUUCCUUCUCCUAAAAUGUCACUUUGUGCUCAUUCCCAGGAAAUAUUCUGUUGAGAGAUACUUAGGUUUGUUUCUAGUUUCUGGGUCAGGUAACUUCCAGGCAUGGCUGAAAUCAGAGCUGCAAUGGAUUUGGAUGGCUCUUCUGCGUCAUUUGAAUUAUCCCUGCACAGUCCACAGCCUUCCAGAAUGAGUAAACAAGAAGAAAGUGUACAACAAGUUCUUGAAAUCUGCUGA
rnacentral:lncRNA from 1 species